GCCAAGCUCAUCACUGAGGUUCACAUCUAUGCAGACCCAUCGACACAUCGUGGGAUGGGUGUCAAGUUAUGUCCAAAACACUAGUUUGUGUUGGAGAAGCAAGCUUGAGAAUUCCAUCCAAGGAAAGGGAAAACUCAAACCAGACCACAAAUAAUUGAAGGUGGGCAGUUCUCCAGCGUGUCCUUGCUCCAUGAAGAUCUGGCCACAAACAGCAGACUCCCCACUGUGAACUAGGUGAAGUGGGAGACCAUACACACAGAGGGCUGAGGCCAUCACAGAGUGCUUGGGGAGGGCCCGAGACUGGGCCACCAAGAGAGCCACGUCUGAGGGCUGGCUGGCCAGCGGUGACGCAGGGUCUUUGGCGGUGCCUCGCAGAACUUGGACCAUUUCAGACGGGUCGGGGAUUCUGCCGCGUGGUGCCAGACGAGCCGAGCUGCAGCCAUACAGCAGCACCAGCGCACGGCACAGCACCUUCUCCACCAGAUCCCCCGGCAGGUAUUGACUGCCUGACCCAUGACCAGCAUACCUGAUGAAGAGGAAUGUUCAACAAAAUGGGAAUCAAUUCUGAACAUUACUCACAGAAACACAUCAUUGCUGGUGAGAGCUGAAGAGAACUCCUGGUGUGAGGGGACACGUGCAGUGAUCCCCUGCCAGCCUGUGCCCUCCAACACCCCACCAAGACGCUCCUGAGUCCUGGGCAAGUUUCCCUCUGGAUC